rnacentral:rRNA from 1 species
AGGGAAUCUUCCACAAUGGACGCAAGUCUGAUGGAGCAACGCCGCGUGAGUGAAGAAGGUCUUCGGAUCGUAAAGCUCUGUUGUUGGUGAAGAAGGAUAGAGGCAGUAACUGGUCUUUAUUUGACGGUAAUCAACCAGAAAGUCACGGCUAACUACGUGCCAGCAGCCGCGGUAAUACGUAGGUGGCAAGCGUUGUCCGGAUUUAUUGGGCGUAAAGCGAGCGCAGGCGGAAUGAUAAGUCUGAUGUGAAAGCCCACGGCUCAACCGUGGAACUGCAUCGGAAACUGUCAUUCUUGAGUGCAGAAGAGGAGAGUGGAACUCCAUGUGUAGCGGUGGAAUGCGUAGAUAUAUGGAAGAACACCAGUGGCGAAGGCGGCUCUCUGGUCUGCAACUGACGCUGAGGCUCGAAAGCAUGGGUAGCGAACAGGAUUAGAUACCCUGGUAGU